UUUUUUUGAGAUGGAGUUUCACUCUUGUUGCCCAGGCUGGAGUGCAGUGGUGCGAUCUUGGCUCACUGCAAGCUCUGUCUCCCUGGUUCAAGCCUGCCGAGUAGCUGGGAUUACAGGUGCCUGCCACCACACCCAGCUAAUCUUUUGUAUGUUUAGUAGAGAUGGGGUUUCGCCAUGCUGGCCAGGCUGGUCUCAAACUCCCGACCUCAGGUGAUCCACCCGCCUCGGCCUCCCAAAGUGUUGGGAUUACAGGUGUGAGCCACCGCGCCUGGCCUGUGCAGGCUUUUCUUUCCAGUGAGUUCUUCUGUCUUUGCCUGAUUCGCCCCUUUCUGAGAUGGAGACCAUGCGCUGUCCCCAUGGGAAGCAUUUCUUCACCGUCCGAGGCCAGGCUGUACCUUCCCUUCUGAGUUCCUGUGGUGCCUGUCCUGGCAGCCAGGCCAUUUGAUGUGAGCUUCUGCAUUUCUUCCCUCUUCACCUUUCUUUGGGACGUCUUUUGUCUUUUGAUUUGGAAGAAAGCAUCUAUCCAUUUUUCCAAAGUUAACUGCGUGCUCCAGGGGUUGUUAACUGAUGGUUUUUAAUGAGUCUGUUAAUUCAUGGAAACUCAGUGCAGAAUUUAUGUGUAGUACGUUAUCUUGAGGCUUCUGCAAAACAGCUUUGUCGUUUCUCUCCUGUGUCUUGAAUCUUUCCACUUCUGUUGGGUUAUUUUCCUUUGUAUUCAGAUUGUGUCUUUCUUCCCUUCCUCUUCCUCAGUGUUUUUAUUUUUAGUUUUUGUGGAGGCAGGAGCUCACCAUGUUUCUCAGGCUGGUCUCGAACUCCUGGGCUCAAGUGAUUCACCUCACCUGCCUCAGCCUCCCAAAGUACUGGGAUUACAGGCAUGAGCUGCUGCACCUGGCUCCCUUUGAGCUUUUGGCACAUGACUGUGAUAUCCACCUUUCUAGAACUUUCUUUGCCUUCCUGUGCAUGGCACCAUGCCAUUGUAGUUCUCCUCCCAGGCUGGUCUCGAACUCCUGAUCUCAAGUGAUCUGCCUGCCUCGGCCUCCCAAAGUGCUGGGAUUACAGGCGUGAGCCACCGUACCCGGCUGAGAUUUCUGAUGACAGAAACUCAAAUGGGUUAUCAGUAACCCUCUAACAUUGUGGAUAUUUAUUAGAAUGUUGUUUGAGGCCUUUUCCCCCCAUAGCUGUGGCUUGUGAACUCAACUUGUGUAUGUUUAGAUCAAACUCUUCUUCCCAUAUUACAAAAUAGUGCUUAGGUAUUAUUGGUUUGUUUGCUAAGUAACUUAUCAAAAGGAGUUUUGUCUAAAGAUCUCAGGUCAUCUGUAUGUGGUUGUGCACUGGACACAGUUUCCACAUCUGUCAGGUAAGAAGAUUGUGUUAGAUAAUCUCGAAGGCCUUUUAUAACUUUAUGAUGAGAUUGAAAACCAGUUUUCAUAAUUUAGCAAGUGCAGCCAAUGAUAUACUUCUACUUCGCUAUAUGUAUCUUUGAGUGGGACCUUUUUCAGCAAAGACUGCCAGUAAAACUGACUCUCUAAAUAAUUGAAUUUAGAGUACUCCUAAGAUCUGGUUUUAACACAAAGUAUUCAACCAAGAUUUUUAAAAUAAUGAGGUACAAUCAUAUUGAUCUCCAUAAGUUUUUUUGUCAUGAUUUUUGGUGACACAACAAGUUUUGUGUUGUUAUUAAAAAGUAUGUGAGAAGAUGAUUUUAUUUUCAUCUCAUUGUAUGUUUUUAUAUUUUGUGUAUUUUUUUAAUGAACAUAAAUUACAUUCAUUAACUGCUGCAGAGUGCCUUCUGCGUUACCAGUAGGAGUUACAGGGUGAUCUCAAAAGCCCUCCCUCUCCUGAAUGUGCUCUACUCUCAGAGGUUUGUGUAUCUGGACAUGUGUGAAUCUGUGUUUUAAGAAGCCCAUGAGGCCAGGUGCAGUGGCUCACACCUGUAAUCCCAGCACUUUGGGAGGCUGAGGCUGGCAGAUCACCUGAGGUCAGGAGUUCGAGACCAGCCUGGCCACCAUGGUGAAACCCGUCUCUACUAAAAAUGCAAGAAUCAGCCAGUGCGUGGUGACGGGCACCUGUAAUCCCAGCUACUCUGGAGGCUGGGGCAGGAGAAUCACUUGAACCCAGGAGGCGGAGGUUGCAGUGAGCUGAGAUCGUGCCACUGCAUUCCAGCCUCAGCGACAGAGUGAAACUCUGUCUUCAAAAAAAAAAAAUGGAGCUGACUUUCCAGCUGGGGAGGCUGAUGGACAAAGCCUGUCCCGUGGCGGGAAGAGGUAGGGAGGGGUGGUCAGGAAAGGCCUUGCCAGUGUGGUGAUACUUGAACAAGGCCUGAGGGAGAUGAGGGGUGCACCCGGCUCUUUGUUUUAUCUGGGGGAAGAAGUUUCUAGUCAAAGGGAGACAAACAGUACAAAGGCCUCGUCUGGGAGCACCCUUAGGUGUCCAGGUAACAAGGAGACCGCUCUUCUCCUUUACUUUUAAAAGAUUCUUUUUCUGGGUAUGGAAGUCGUAGUUAAAAGCUGUUUUUUUCUUUCAAGAUUUUAGAGAAAUUACUCUCUUCUGGUUUUUAUGGCUUCUCACAAGAAUCCUGCUGUAAUUGUUUUUGUUCUUCCAUGUGUAAUGUUUCUUUUAUCACUAGCUGCUUUCAGUCUCUCCUCUCCUCCUCCAGCCCCCUUUCUUUUCGAGACAAGGUCUUGCUCUUUUGCCCAGGCUGAAGUGCAGUGACAUGAUCACAGCUCACUGCAGCUUCGACCUCCCAGGCUCAAGUGUUCUCCACCUCAGCCUCCCAAGUAGCUGAGACCACAAGUGUGGUCUAAUUUUUUAAACUUUUUUGUAGAGAUGAGGUCUUGCUAUGUUGCCCAGGCUACUCCUGAACUCCUGGGUUCAAGCAAUCCUCUCACCCCAACAAGUGCUGGGAUUACAGGCACGAGCCCCAUCGUACUUGGUCAGUGUUUAUUUCCUUCCUUCCUUCUCCUUCCCUCCUCUCUCUCUUUCUUUCUUAUUUUCAUAGUCUUAGUUGCGCAUGACUUUCACUGCAACCUCCACCUCCCGGGUUCAAGCGAUUCUCCUGCCUCAGCCUCCAAAGUAGCUGCAGGCACCUGCCACCAUGCCCAGCCAAUUAUUGUAUUUUCAGUAUGACCUCAGGUGAUUUGCCUGCCUCGGCCUUCCAAAGUGCUGGGAUCAUAGGCGUGAGCCACUGCGCCCGGCCAAGUCUCAGUUUUAGACAUGUCUGGUAACCCUGGAUUUCAGAGGUGCAGCUGUCUCAGUUCUUCUGCCUUUUCCCUGGCUAUAAUUUUGGACUCAGUGUGUAAUCCUGCCCCUUUUGCAGGACUAGGUCUCUCCUGUCCCUCUCUUCCCUUCCCCCUGCUGCCCCCAAAUUAGGACUUUUGUUUCUGAGUGGAGAUUGAGAGGAAGGAUUUGAGUGGAAUUUCUUUCCCCUCCUUCCUGGCUUCUGGUCCCCUCCCUGAGUUCUGCGCUACUGUCUUUGCUUCUUCGGGCUCUUUCAGAUCUUCAUUCAUGAGGGACCUGCCCUCAUGACCCAUGCACUUCCCAUUAGGCCCGUAGAUAUUUGUGCUGUCCCAUGACAGAGCAGGGAUAUGAAACUUGCCCUGGCAUCCAGACAUGUUCUGAGGCUGGCUCAGAUAUUUGUUUUCUUCUGGAUAAGUAGCAUCAAAACAAAUAGUAAUUAUAUUAUUUAAUAGACUUAAAACACGGCAACUACAUUUGUAUAGGAAAAACCACAUUAGUAACAUUACAUGGAGAAAAGCAUUUUAUGUAACUAUAGUUCCAGCAAAUACCACUAUGCCUUCAUUAAUGCCUUAAAACCAUCUUAUUUACAUCUGUAGAACCACUGGCCAUUUAAUAGGGCAAUUCAGGAGCAAUCAUUAAAAACAGUUGCAGUUUUCAUUAGGUUUUCUCUGUUUAUUCUAAUAUGUAAACUGAAAUUAAAAGUAAAUCCUUCAGAGUUCAUUCUUUAAAAAAAGUAAGUCCUAAGGAAAACUGUUAUAUUAGCUAUUUAAAAGGAUGCUGGAGUUUCCAUGGAACAGCCUUGAAAUUAUAAAUUGCUAGAUAUUUACUCUGUAAGAUUACUCCUUUUAGUUUUGGCAUGAAUCAUAGGACACCACCCUACCCUGCUGGGGAUUAUUGUCUUCUGUGCAGAAGUGAACGGAAAGACUCAUCAUUCUUAGAGAGUGGAAUUAAGACUGCGAGCAAAUUGGCCCUUUCCAUGGCUCCCAAGGGCAACAGCGUGCUGCACCUGCCACUGUGGGUGUGCCCGGACUGCCGCAGGACCGUGGAGAAGGAGGAGAGGCAUGGCGGCCUUGACCAGCCAGUGUUGGGGGAGUCCUGGUGACAAUCUGAAGAGCGCAUCCCCACUGCCUGGUGUGGGUUUCCAUCUUUACUGGCCUUGGAGGCAAGCCCCAUCUCCAGGGCCAGUUUCUAUCCUUGGGGUCUCAUUGUCAGAAUUACUUUCUCACUCGGCCCCUCCCGCAUGUCCCGCUUUCCUGCUGUAAUUCUCUUCCUAGCACUUAUUUCUAACAUACUAUGUAUUUUACUUACUCAUUUGGUUUGCUUUCUUCUUCAUUAGAAUAUAAACUCUACAAAGACAGCUAUUUUUAUGGUUUUCUUUGUGUGGUUUUUUUGUUUGUUUUUUUACCAAUACCAUUUUCUUUGCUUUUUGUGGUGGUUGGUUUGUUUUCUCAUUAAACUUUAUCAGCUCUUCUUCCGACUCCAGCCCUGCUCUUGUAUUUUAGCCUGCCUCUGCCCUUGGGAACAGGCUUCUGCUGU
rnacentral:lncRNA from 1 species